AUUGAACGCUGGCGGCAGGCCUAACACAUGCAAGUCGAGCGAGAGGCGGACGGGUGAGUAAUGUCUGGGAAACUGCCUGAUGGAGGGGGAUAACUACUGGAAACGGUAGCUAAUACCGCAUAACAUCAGAUGUGCCCAGAUGGGGUUAGCUAGUAGGUGGGGUAACGGCUCACCUAGGCGACGAUCCCUAGCUGGUCUGAGAGGAUGACAAGCCACACUGGAACUGAGACACGGCCCAGACUCCAACGGGAGGCAGCAGUGGGGAAUAUUGCACAAUGGACGCAAGCCUGAUACAGCCAUGCCGCGUGGGUGAAGAAGGCCUUCGGGUUGUAAAGCACUUUCAGCGGGGAGGCGUUACCCGCAGAAGAAGCACCGGCUAACUCCGUGCCAGCCGCCGCGGUAAUAC
rnacentral:rRNA from 1 species